rnacentral:rRNA from 1 species
AGUGAACGCUGGCGGCGUGCCUAAUACCUGCAAGUCGAACGAAGUGGCGCACGGGUGAGUCAUAUAUAGUUAAUCUGCCCUACACAGAGGCACCACAGUUGGAAACGACUGCUAAUACCUCAUAGUGUCGGAUGAGACUAUAUCGUAUCAGCUAGUUGGUAAUGUAAUGUCUUACCAAGGCUAUGACGCGUAACUGGUCUGAGAUGUUGAUCAUUCACAGUGGAACUGAGACACGGUCCAAACGCCUACGGUAGGCAGCAGUAAGGAAUAUUGCGCAAUGGGCGAAACCCUGACGCAGCAACGCCGCGUGGAGGAUGACACUGUUCGGAGCGUAAACUCCUUUUAUCAGGAAAGCGGUACCUGAUGAAUAAGCACCGGCUAACUCCGUGCCAGCAGCCGCGGUAAUAC